AUUGAACGCUGGCGGCAGGCCUAACACAUGCAAGUCGAGCGGAUGAAGGGAGCUUGCUCCUGGAUUCAGCGUCGGACGGGUGAGUAAUGCCUAGGAAUCUGCCUGGUAGUGGGGGAUAACGUCCGGAAACGGGCGCUAAUACCGCAUACGUCCUGAGGGAGAAAGUGGGGGAUCUUCGGACCUCACGCUAUCAGAUGAGCCUAGGUCGGAUUAGCUAGUUGGUGGGGUAAAGGCCUACCAAGGCGACGAUCCGUAACUGGUCUGAGAGGAUGAUCAGUCACACUGGAACUGAGACACGGUCCAGACUCCUACGGGAGGCAGCAGUGGGGAAUAUUGGACAAUAGGCGAAAGCCUGAUCCAGCCAUGCCGCGUGUGUGAAGAAGGUCUUCGGAUUGUAAAGCACUUUAAGUUGGGAGGAAGGGCAGUAAGUUAAUACCUUGCUGUUUUGACGUUACCAACAGAAUAAGCACCGGCUAACUUCGUG
rnacentral:rRNA from 1 species